GUGAAUCAUCGAAUCUUUGAACGCAUAUUGCACUCUCUGGUAUUCCGGGGAGGAUGCCUGUUUGGGGGGAAUUAAAAAGAAUCUUUAACCAAUUUUUUUGGGUCAAAGGAAAUGAGCUCGCCGCGUUUAUAGCGGUAGCUUGAAAUAAAUGGUCAAGUCUCAUUUUAGUCGAGACGAGUAAUAAUAUGAGUUCGCGAAAUGUUAAUUAUGUGG
rnacentral:misc_RNA from 1 species